rnacentral:rRNA from 1 species
AACGAACGCUGGCGGCAGGCUUAACACAUGUAAGUCGAACGGGUGUAGCAAUACAUCAGUGGCAGACGGGUGAGUAACACGUGGGAACCUUCCUAGGGGUACGGAACAACUCAGGGAAACUUGAGCUAAUACCGUAUACGUCCGUGAGGAGAAAGAUUUAUCGCCCUUAGACGGGCCCGCGUCGGAUUAGGUAGUUGGUGGGGUAACGGCCUACCAAGCCUACGAUCCGUAGCUGAUCUUGGAGGAUGAUCAGCCACACUGGGACUGAGACACGGCCCAGACUCCUACGGGAGGCAGGAGUGGGGAAUCUUGGACAAUGGGCGCAAGCCUGAUCCAGCCAUGCCGCGUGAGUGAAGAAGGCCUUAGGGUUGCAAAGCUCUUUUACCAGGGACGAUAAUGACGGUACCUGGAGAAUAAGCCCCGGCAAACUUCGUGCCAGCAGCCGCCGUAAAAC